AUGUCUNAGUNUAANNNNAUUAUACNNCGAAACUGCGAAUGGCUCAUUAUAUAAGUUAUCGUUUAUUUGAUAGUACCUUACUACUUGGAUAACCGUGGUAAUUCUAGAGCUAAUACAUGCUAAAAAUCCCGACUUCGGAAGGGAUGUAUUUAUUAGAUUAAAAACCAAUGCCCUUCGGGGCUCACUGGUGAUUCAUGAUAACUCCUCGAAUCGCAUGGCCUUGUGCCGGCGAUGGUUCAUUCAAAUUUCUUCCCUAUCAACUUUCGAUGUUUGGGUAUUGGCCAAACAUGGUUGCAACGGGUAACGGAGGGUUAGGGCUCGACCCCGGAGAAGGAGCCUGAGAAACGGCUACUACAUCCAAGGAAGGCAGCAGGCGCGCAAAUUACCCAAUCCCGACACGGGGAGGUAGUGACAAUAAAUACUGAUACAGGGCUCUUUUGGGUCUUGUAAUUGGAAUGAGUACAAUUUAAAUCCCUUAACGAGGAACAAUUGGAGGGCAAGUCUGGUGCCAGCAGCCGCGGUAAUUCCAGCUCCAAUAGCGUAUAUUAAAGUUGUUGUGGUUAAAAAGCUCGUAGUUGAACCUUGGGCCUGGCUGGCCGGUCCGCCUCACCGCGUGUACUGGUCCGGCCGGGCCUUUCCCUCUGUGGAACCCCAUGCCCUUCACUGGGUGUGGCGGGGAAACAGGACUUUUACUGUGAAAAAAUUAGAGUGCUCCAGGCAGGCCUAUGCUCGAAUACAUUAGCAUGGAAUAAUAGAAUAGGACGUGUGGUUCUAUUUUGUUGGUUUCUAGGACCGCCGUAAUGAUUAAUAGGGACAGUCGGGGGCAUCAGUAUUCAAUUGUCAGAGGUGAAAUUCUUGGAUUUAUUGAAGACUAACUACUGCGAAAGCAUUUGCCAAGGAUGUUUUCAUUAAUCAGGAACGAAAGUUAGGGGAUCGAAGACGAUCAGAUACCGUCGUAGUCUUAACCAUAAACUAUGCCGACUAGGGAUCGGACGGUGUUAUUUUUUNACCCGUUCGGCACCUUACGAGAAAUCAAAGUGCNUNGGNNNNAGGGG
rnacentral:rRNA from 1 species